GAUUCCAUUCGUUCUACCUAGAAUUUGUCUAUAAGUCAAUGAUUGAUGGAUUGAUAGAUUGCUCGAAGUAUUCUGCAAUUAGAGAGUGUCAGCGAACGAGAGAAAGAAUACAAGUGUGUAUUAAGCUCUGAUGUUGCUAUUGAACUGUUUACUGAUUAAUAAGUAGUAUUUACUGCUUUACUAUGUGUAUAGAAAGAGUAGAAAACCUUUCAGAUUAUGGACCUUUCCCCGCAAGUACGCUGUGAAAUUUAUUGAAACAAAAAUUGUUA
rnacentral:lncRNA from 1 species